AGCUCCAAUAGCGUAUCUUAAAGUUGCUGCAGUUAAAAAGCUCGUAGUUGGAUCUCGGGAUCGAGCUGACGGUCCGCCGCGAGGCGAGCUACCGUCUGUCCCAGCCCCUUCCUCUCGGAACUGGGGCCAUGAUUAAGAGGGACGGCCGGGGGCAUUCGUAUUGUGCCGCUAGAGGUGAAAUUCUUGGACCGGCGCAAGACGGACGAAAGCGAAAGCAUUUGCCAAGAAUGUUUUCA
rnacentral:rRNA from 1 species